rnacentral:lncRNA from 10 species
UCUAGCACUAAAGCUAGAAGGGAAGCUUGAGGCCACAUUGUGGAGUGCCAAGAGGUUUGAACUUUUGCCUGGUUUGAACUUUUACCUUCUUAAUCUUUUCCCCGCAUCCCCACAUUUGAGGACAGGACACCUCCAGGAACUGCAGCUCAGCAACAGGGGUUCAGCGUGAGCGCGGCCUGGGGAGGGUCAUCGCCUUUUUGGGGAGUGUGGGGAGAAACGCGGCUCGCCUUGUCGUGGCUGGCGAUACGCCUCUGCAGGAAGGGUGUGUCUCCCCGCUUGAGGAUUCUCCCUAUAGAUAAAGAGGAGACUCAGCAGAGCCUUAAUUAGAGAUCACAGAGGACUGACAACGAGCGUCCGGAAGACGAAUUGGCAGCGAGGUGCAUGGAUUCGAUACAGAAGCUGGAGAUAGAGUCCAGCUAACAGACCACUGCAGUUCGACGGAGCCAGAUCCCAGGUCUGAAAUGGAAAGAGAUGUUACCCUAGAUGCCCGGAGACAGCGGGGCCGCAGAGACCUCGCACAGCCGAAUAGCAGUGGAGCAGGUGUGUGUGUGUGCAUGUGCAUGUGUGCACGCUGUGAGGGUGUGGUGUGUGUAACAUGCUCCCAUGUGUCCGUGUGCCCGCUCUGCAGGGGGAAUGUUAAUGUUUGAUUGUUGUUUGGCUUCAGCCCAAAAGAGAAACAAAUAAUGAGGUGAACGGAAAUGAGCUGGAGUCUCUGCUUUCACCGCUAAUUAGUCCCUGCUCGAUUUUGACGAAGAAGACAUACAAUAGACACAAGUGAGCAACGAAUGAGAAACUCAGGGACCUAGGCUGGGGAAAGGGCGUCGGGUGGGGGGUGUGUGGGCAGGGCUAGGAAGGGAAUCUCAGAAGCCAGUGUGCCUGGAUCAGGCCGACAGGUCAUUCCCACCCUUAGAUGAAAAUCUGCGCAUUAUUCCAUCUUGGCUGGCAUCUCUUAUGGGCUGGCCUUCAUCUUACUAACGCCAUUUCACUUUUUGAAGGGUUGACAGUUACCUUCUUCACCUUCCCCUGGGCAGUUCUUUGUUGUCUUUGUCAGGCUGGCCCCUGUCCAUAUUUCUCAGAGCCCUGGUCACAGCUCUCUUACUCACCAGCUGCUCAGACAAACCCAGCCUUGACCUG